rnacentral:rRNA from 1 species
AGCAGCCGCGGUAAUUCCAGCUCCAAUAGCGUAUAUUAAAGUUGUUGCAGUUAAAAAGCUCGUAGUUGAAUUUCGGGGUUAGUAGGUUGGUCAUGCCUCUGGUAUGUACUGGUCUCACUGAUUCCUCCUUCCUGAUGAAUCUUAAUGCCAUUUAUUUGGUGUUUUGGGGAAUUUGGACUGUUACUUUGAAAAAUUUAGAGUGUUUAAAGCAAGCUAAACGCUUGAAUACAUUAGCAUGGAAUAAUGAAAUAGGACGUUCGAUCCUAUUUUGUUGGUUUCUAGGAUUGACGUAAUGAUUAAUAGGGAUAGUUGGGGGCAUUAGUAUUCAAUUGUCAGAGGUGAAAUUCUUGGAUUUAUUGAAGACUAACUACUGCGAAAGCAAUUUGCCAAGGAUGUUUUCAUUAAUCAAGAACGAAAGUUAGGGGAUCGAAGACGAUCAGAUACCGUCGUAGUCUUAACCAUAAACUAUGCGACUAGGAUCAGAUGAUGUUAAUUUUUAAUGUACUCA